rnacentral:rRNA from 1 species
AGAAUCAACGCUGGCGGCGUGCCUAACACAUGCAAGUCGAACGAGAAAGUGGUAGCAAUACCAUGAGUAAAGUGGCGCACGGGUGAGUAACACGUGACUAACCUACCCUUGAGUGGGGGAUAACUGAGGGAAACCUUAGCUAAUACCGCAUAAUACCCACGGGUCAAAGGAGCAAUUCGCUCGAGGAGGGGGUCGCGGCCGAUUAGUUAGUUGGCGGGGUAAUGGCCCACCAAGACGAUGAUCGGUA